rnacentral:rRNA from 1 species
CCUACGGGUGGCUGCAGUGAGGAAUAUUGGUCAAUGGGCGCAAGCCUGAACCAGCCAUGCCGCGUGCAGGACGACGGCCCUAUGGGUUGUAAACUGCUUUUGUACGGGAAGAAACAACGCUUCGUGAAGCGUCUUGACGGUACCGUAAGAAUAAGGAUCGGCUAACUCCGUGCCAGCAGCCGCGGUAAUACGGAGGAUCCAAGCGUUAUCCGGAAUCAUUGGGUUUAAAGGGUCCGUAGGCGGUUUUGUAAGUCAGUGGUGAAAUCCGGUCGCUUAACGAUCGAACUGCCAUUGAUACUGCAGGACUUGAAUUACUGGGAAGUAACUAGAAUAUGUAGUGUAGCGGUGAAAUGCUUAGAUAUUACAUGGAAUACCGAUUGCGAAGGCAGGUUACUACCGGUGUAUUGACGCUGAUGGACGAAAGCGUGGGGAGCGAACAG